rnacentral:snRNA from 1 species
UCUAUUUUUUUGGUCGUUGUCGCU